rnacentral:rRNA from 1 species
AUACGGAGGGGGCUAGCGUUGUUCGGAAUUACUGGGCGUAAAGGGCGCGUAGGCGGACUAUCAAGUCAGGGGUGAAAGUCCUGGGCUCAACCUGGGAACUGCCUUUGAAACUGAUAGUCUUGAGGCCGCAAGAGGAUGGCGGAAUUCCCAGUGUAGAGGUGAAAUUCGUAGAUAUUGGGAAGAACACCAGUGGCGAAGGCGGCUACCUGGACCAAUACUGACGCUGAGGUGCGAAAGCGUGGGGAGCAAACAGAAUUAGAAACCCCAGUAGUCC